UGAGGAAUAUUGGUCAAUGGGUGCAAGCCUGAACCAGCCAUCCGGCGUGAAGGACGACUGCCCUAUGGGUUGUAAACUUCUUUUGUAUAGGGAUAAACCUACCCUCGUGAGGGUAGCUGAAGGUACUAUACGAAUAAGCACCGGCUAACUCCGUGCCAGCAGCCGCGGUAAUACGGAGGGUGCAAGCGUUAUCCGGAUUUAUUGGGUUUAAAGGGUCCGUAGGCGGACUUAUAAGUCAGUGGUGAAAGCCUGUCGCUUAACGAUAGAACUGCCAUUGAUACUGUAAGUCUUGAGUAUAUUUGAGGCAGCUGGAAUAAGUAGUGUAGCGGUGAAAUGCAUAGAUAUUACUUAGAACACCAAUUGCGAAGGCAGGUUACCAAGAUAUAACUGACGCUGAGGGACGAAAGCGUGGGGAGCGAACA
rnacentral:rRNA from 1 species